AAAAAAAAAAACUGAGAGACAAUUAGAGUUAUGAUGAUAUACAAACUGACAUGCAAUAGCUUCCAGAGCAUGUGGAAUAAACAUUUCUUCAGAAAUGUUGCUGCUCCUGCCCUUUUUCAUCAUUGCUUGUCUAAUUCAAAUAUAACUAGAUGCACUAUAUUCUCUUUCAAAUUAGGAAAACAGCCCAAGAAGAAAAUGUUUUAUUAAGAAAUUUUUGACAUGUUGGCCCAAGAAUGUUUAUUUCAAUGUCACGUAACACUUUGAUUCCCAAGAUUUAGGCUCUAUUUGUUACACCAAAAAUAUUUUCCUAAAAAAACAUUUUUCGCACUUUUUGGCAUUUGGAGCACUAAGGAAAAUUGAUCACCAAAAAUGUUUUCUUCGUCAAAAGGGAAAACUAGCCCAUUUUUAUGGAAAAUGAAUCCCUCUUUUUAAAAGAGGAAGUCAUUUCCAAAUUUUGCUAACUUGUUAAAAGGAUGAAGAAAAUUAUAUAUGUAUGACAUAAACCAAUACCCAUUAGUUUACUGGUUGCAACUUGACCACUGGUCAUCAAUGGCGGCCACCAGUGACUGAUGGUGGCUGCCACAAUUUACAAUUAUUAUAAUUUUUUUUUGCACAUAUUCAACAACAAAAUAAUAAAAAAUAUAAAAACUUUUAUAUUUUAAAUAUUUUCAUAGUAUCAAAAAUUCCAAGAAAAUUAACAUUUUUCUUAUGCUCCAGACAAUAGAAAAUAAGUUUCCUUUGCUUUUCAGCAUUGCAACCAAACAACGAAAAAUAAGUUAUUUUCUCAAAAAAUGU
rnacentral:misc_RNA from 1 species